GUUGUGGCUCAGCGGUGGAGCGCUCGCCUAGCACGUGCGGGGGGAGGGGGGUCCUGGGUUCGAUCCUCAGCACCACA
rnacentral:tRNA from 1 species